CCAGUUUUGCUCCAAGGACCAAUCUCAGAACUGUGGGGACACAGGCAGAGAGCGUGAGCCGGGAAUGGAAAGACCGGUACAAGCGAGGUAGGAGAAGAGUUGGCAAAUCCGCUCUUUAAUCUGAAGACGUGAUGUGGACUGAAAAUAAGUAGGGAAGCACGUGAGCUGACUGUCAAGAAAAGCCGCUAUUGUUUGCAGGAUACCCGUACCGUAAACCGACACAGGUGGAUGAGGAGAGAAUCCUAAGGCCGACGGGAGAAGCAUUGUUAAGGAACUCGGCAAAAUGACUCCGUAACUUCGGGAGAAGGAGUGCCAGUAAGAUGGCCGCAGAGAAUUGGCCCAAGCAACUGUUUAGCAAAAACACAGGUCUAUGCAAAACCGAAAGGUGAGGUAUAUGGGCUGACGCCUGCCCGGUGCUGGAAGGUUAAGGGGAGAGGUUAGCGCAAGCGAAGCUUUGAACUUAAGCCCCAGUAAACGGCGGCCGUAACAAUAACGGUCCUAAGGUAGCGAAAUUCCUUGUCGGGUAAGUUCCGACCCGCACGAAAGGCGUAAUGAUUUGGGCACUGUCUCAACAAUGCACCCGGUGAAAUUGAAAUACCAGUGAAGAUGCUGGUUACCUGCGCCAGGACGGAAAGACCCCAUGGAGCUUUACUCCAGCUUGAUACUGGGAUUCGGUAUUGCAUGUACAGGAUAGGUGGGAGGCUAGGAAAUGGUAACGCCAGUUGCCAUGGAGCCGAUGUUGGGAUACCACCCUUGCAGUACUGGGUUUCUAACCAGCAGCCGUGAUCCGGCUGGGGGACAAUGUCAGGUGGGGAGUUUGACUGGGGCGGUCGCCUCCGAAAGGGUAUCGGAGGCGCUCAAAGGUUCCCUCAGAAUGGUUGGAAACCAUUCGAAGAGUGCAAAGGCAGAAGGGAGCUUGACUGCGACACCGACGGGUGGAGCAGGUACGAAAGUAGGACUUAGUGAUCCGGUGGUAUAAAGUGGGAUUGCCAUCGCUCAACGGAUAAAAGCUACCCUGGGAUAACAGGCUUAUCACUCCCAAGAGUUCACAUCGACGGAGUGGUUUGGCACCUCGAUGUCGGCUCAUCGCAUCCUGGGGCUGAAGUAGGUCCCAAGGGUUGGGCUGUUCGCCCAUUAAAGCGGUACGCGAGCUGGGUUCAGAACGUCGUGAGACAGUUCGGUCCCUAUCCGGCGUGGGCGUAAGAUAUUUGAGAGGAGCUGUCCUUAGUACGAGAGGACCGGGAUGGACUGGCCGCUGGUGUAUCUGUUGUCUUACCAAAGGCAUAGCAGAGUAGCCAAGCCGGGAAGGGAUAAACGCUGAAGGCAUCUAAGCGUGAAGCCCCCCUCAAGAUGAGAUAUCUCAUAACGUCAAGUUAGUAAGACCCCUUGAAGACGACGAGGUAGAUAGGGCAGAGGUGGAAGUGUGGUAACACAUGGAGCUGACUGUUACUAAUAGGUC
rnacentral:rRNA from 1 species